GAUGAACGCUGGCGGCGUGCCUAAUACAUGCAAGUCGAGCGAACAGAUGAGGAGCUUGCUCCUCUGACGUUAGCGGCGGACGGGUGAGUAACACGUGGAUAACCUACCUAUAAGACUGGGAUAACUUCUGGAAACCGGAGCUAAUACCGGAUAAUAUAUUGAACCGCAUGGUUCAAUAGUGAACGACGGUUUUGCUGUCACUUAUAGAUGGAUCCGCGCCGCAUUAGCUAGUUGGUAAGGUAACGGCUUACCAAGGCAACGAUGCGUAGCCGACCUGAGAGUGUGAUCGGCAACACUGGAACUGCGACAGGGUCCAGACUCCUACGGGAGGCAGCAGUAGGGAAUCUUCCGCAAUGGGCGAAAGCCUGACGGAGCAACGCCGCGUGAGUGAUGAAGGUCUUCGGAUCGUAAAACUCUGUUAUUAGGGAAGAACAAAUGUGUAAGUAACUAUGCACGUCUUGACGGUACCUAAUCAGAAAGCCACGGCUAACUACGUG
rnacentral:rRNA from 1 species